CCUACGGGAGGCAGCAGUGGGGAAUUUUGGACAAUGGGCGAAAGCCUGAUCCAGCAAUGCCGCGUGAGUGAAGAAGGCCUUCGGGUUGUAAAGCUCUUUUGUCAGGGAAGAAACGGUGAGAGCUAAUAUCUUUUGCUAAUGACGGUACCUGAAGAAUAAGCACCGGCUAACUACGUGCCAGCAGCCGCGGUAAUACGUAGGGUGCAAGCGUUAAUCGGAAUUACUGGGCGUAAAGCGUGCGCAGGCGGUUUUGUAAGUCUGAUGUGAAAUCCCCGGGCUCAACCUGGGAAUUGCAUUGGAGACUGCAAGGCUAGAAUCUGGCAGAGGGGGGUAGAAUUCCACGUGUAGCAGUGAAAUGCGUAGAUAUGUGGAGGAACACCGAUGGCGAAGGCAGCCCCCUGGGUCAAGAUUGACGCUCAUGCACGAAAGCGUGGGGAGCAAACAGGAUUAGAUACCCUGGUAGUCCACGCCCUAAACGAUGUCUACUAGUUGUCGGGUCUUAAUUGACUUGGUAACGCAGCUAACGCGUGAAGUAGACCCGCCUGGGGAGUACGGUCGCAAGAUUAAAACUCAAAAUGGAAAUUGACCGGNNGAGAGNGCGAGACGACACGAGGAGGAG
rnacentral:rRNA from 1 species